GGAGGCGGCGGUGGAUAGCGGUGGUGGAGGUGCGGACGAGACAAAGGAAGUAGAAACAAAAGCGGAAAGCGGUGGGGGCGGGGGAACCGCACCACAGGAGGAAACCCGGCGGAGGCGGCGAGGUCGCCCACAGCAACAGCCGGUGGCCCCGCAGGAGGUGCCGCCCCCCUUGGCUGCCUCCCACAAUGCCGCGGGGCAGGAAGAGGGUAGCAGUGAUGCUGCCACCGCUACUGCUGCCAGUGAUGAUGGAGACGGUGGCGAUGGUGCGGGAGGUGUGACGAUACCCCCCCUCACGCUGUCCACCCGGAAGAGACGUGGGGCCACGGAGCAGCCGACAGCGCCGCAGAAAUCCCGUCGGAAUUCCAGGAAACCGGGAACGUCGGCAACGUCAGGAACGUCCCAAGCCACCGACGCUCCGGGAACGCCGCAGGGGAGCGGAGGGCCACCGGGAAACUCGGGAACG